rnacentral:tRNA from 1 species
GCCGGAGUGGUGAAACAGGCAGACGCGCGGGACUCAAAAUCCCGUGGGAGCAAUCCCGUGAGGGUUCGAUUCCCUCCUCCGGCA